rnacentral:rRNA from 1 species
ACUCCUACGGGAGGCAGCAGUAAGGAAUUAUUGGACAAUGGGCGGAAGCCUGAUCCAGCCAUGCCGCGUGUGAGAAGAAUGUCCUAUGGAUUGUAAAUCACUUUUAUCUGGGAAGAAUGGUCAAUAUUNUAUUGGAAGUAGACCGGUACCAGAUGAAUAAGCACCGGCUAACUCCUGCCAGCAGCCGCGGUAAUACGGAGGGUGCAAGCGUUAUCCGGAAUCACUGGGUUUAAAGGGUACGUAGGCGGUCUAAUAAGUCUGACGUGAAAGCUUUUGGCUUAACCAAGAAAUUGCGUUGGAUACUGUUAGACUAGAAUGAGUUG